CCUUUUGAGAUUAGGGUACACCUGUUCCCAUCCCGAACACAGAAGUUAAGCUCUUCAGCGCCGAUGGUACUGCACGGGUAACUAUGUGGGAGAGUAGGUCGCUGCCAUCA
rnacentral:rRNA from 1 species